UUAACAUAGAGAAGAAUGUAACAGCGGUGCGAGGCGGAAAUAUCUCCCUCCCCUGUGAUUUCUCUGUUCCUGCACAUGCAGUCUACUGGUACAAACACGACUUCACUGGAGCACCAGCUGACGGAGCAUCACUCGUAGCCCGAGACUAUCAAGGUAUAACAGAUCCUGUACCGGGCUUUGAGAGGUUCAGCAUCACCAGGGAUUACAGUUUGAUCAUCAAAAACAUCAUUGUUCACGACGAGACAACCUACUCAUGCUUAGUUGUUGAGCUUGAUACCUUGGAUGUUGGUGAGGAAAGAGGCUAUACGGACUUGAGAGUUAUAGCUUUAGCAGAGCCCCUUGAACCGAUCAUCGAGAUCAUCGAGCCCUGUACUUUCACAGCGCAAGGGGGAUGUAUCUACCAUGUUAAUAGGCCUACUACUGAUGGGGACACGUCGGAGGAUGUAAUACUUGUUUCUAAGCUUUUCAAUAUUCGACCUCUACCAAAAUUGAUUUGGAUUGGAAGCGAUGGAAGAUUACAUGAACAUGCAACUCACCAGACGCAGGAGAAAGACGGGCUGUUUAACAUUUCAUUACAACUUCAGGUAUCCAAGUCGCAUCUUGAUCACAACUAUACCUGUCAAGCUAAAGGGGAAGCCGUGAAUGGAACCUCAUCAGUAGAUAUUUCUUUUGAGGAUUCUGCUACACAUGGUAGGAUUGUUCUUUUUCAAUUCAAUUCAAUUCAAUUUAUUUUUCUCAGUAUAAAAACAAUACAAAUAGUACAAACAUGAAAUAAAUCAGACAUGGACAUAAAUAAAGUAGUAUACUGAAAGGGUAGCAGCCAAAAAGAAGUUAACCUUAUGUACGGCCGACCCAAAUAAAAUUAUACAUUAUUUGAACAAUUAAAGUAGAAAAGGGGAAAGAAUUACCUAACUAACCCAAACAAACAACCAGAAUGAUAAUUACGUAAAAAUGAAUAAGUAGUGAUGAUUUUAUAUUUACAAUUUCUCCUAAAAUUUAGUUUUGAAAUAAUUUUGUUCUUACUUUAGGUAUAUGAAAAUCAUUAUUUCCCCUGGUUGUAUAAUUAUGUACAUUACGAUUUAAAACAAAAUAAUUACAUAUUGACUGAGGUAAAAUAUAUUUAUAACACUUGUACAUAAAAAUUGCAGUCUCAUAAUUGUAAAAGUCAUAAAAUUUCAAAAUCCUCUGAGACUUAAAAAUUUGUUCAUCUAUUGGAAUAAAUAAAUUUCGUACAGUCUUUAUGUUCGACCUCUUCCAAAACCAUUUUCCAAUGUUCUUAAGACAACCACUUAUCUUAUAAAGUGGUGAUCGGUUGUACAUCCAUUCGAAGGAUAUACGUUUACCUCAGUGAGGGAGAUAUCCAAAACGAUUCAAGCUCUCCGAUUGGAUAAAACUAUACAAUCACUCACUUUUGGAGUAAGUCAUGGUAAAAUUAUGUACAAAUCAUGUAUUCACUUGAUUUAAUCAGUGAAUGACAAGUAGCUAAUGGUAUGAACGGUUCGUCAUAGUACGACACACAUUUUCUUACCAAAAAACGGAUCUAUUAAUUGUAAAAUCGGAAGAGUACUUUUAAAACAACCACUUCCCUCGUCAUAGUAACAACAACGCCAACUGUCAUUGUGAAUCGGGCCAAGAACGAUUCAAAACACAACCACCAUCUUUGUGCGCUUUAGACCCAAGCCAUGCAAAGCCCUACAAGGCCUGGUCACACCGCCCGAGCGUUGUUGGAGCGGUCGUGGAGCGGAGAGAAAAAAUCAUCACCGCUCGCUACCGUUCACAACCGUUUAACCAAAGUUGGCCUUCGUUAAGGCAACGCCGAAUAUACUCGGCCACGGCUGAUGGUCCCUCCUACCGCUCUGAAAGUUUUGAGCUGCUCAAAAUAUUGCAAGCGGUGAGCGGGCAAUUUUCUACACCAGCAAAGUUGACUACCGCUCUAACACACGUACGUUCAUCCCUCCAACUCAGUGUAAAAAGUGGGCGGAGCUUAAUCGGAUUUUCGGGCCUAGCAACCCUGUUAGCAACGCCUGUUAGCAUCGUUUGGCUCAAUCUCCAUAAUGUCUGCGAUAUUAAAAUCCUACAAACUGAUGGAAUUAUUCAAAUUUAGUAAGGCUAUGAAUGUUUAUCAUUUACACUGACUAUCGGUGUACAAACUCAUACCGAAUUUAAAGGCAAUUGCCGGUUAUAUUACGAAUUAUCAGUCAUUUUGAUGAGUGAUGCAAAGUGCCAAAAUUUAUGAAAAUAUAGCGUAAAUUUUAUAUAGCAUUUCAAAAUCCUUAUUUUCA